rnacentral:rRNA from 1 species
GACGAACGCUGGCGGCGUGCUUAACACAUGCAAGUCGAACGGAAAGGCCCUGCUUUUGUGGGGUGCUCGAGUGGCGAACGGGUGAGUAACACGUGAGUAACCUGCCCUUGACUUUGGGAUAACUUCAGGAAACUGGGGCUAAUACCGGAUAGGAGCUCCUGCUGCAUGGUGGGGGUUGGAAAGUUUCGGCGGUUGGGGCUGGACUCGCGGCUUAUCAGCUUGUUGGUGGGGUAGUGGCUUACCAAGGCUUUGACGGGUAGCCGGCCUGAGAGGGUGACCGGCCACAUUGGGCCUGAGAUACGGCCCAGACUCCUACGGGAGGCAGCAGUGGGGAAUAUUGCACAAUGGGCGGAAGCCUGAUGCAGCAGCGCCGCGUGCGGGAUGACGGCCUUCGGGUUGUAAACCGCUUUCGCCUGUGACGAAGCGUGAGUGACGGUAAUGGGUAAAGAAGCACCGGCUAACUACGUG